UGCAAGUCGACGAGCACUUCUGAAUGGAGAUUCGUCAAAGUUCAGAUUUGACUUAGUGGCGGACGGGUGAGUAAUGCAUGAGCAACCUGCCCUGCAGUGGGGGACAACAGUUGGAAACGACUGCUAAUACCGCAUGAUGUAUCUGGAAGGCAUCUUCCGGAUACCAAAGAUUUAUCGCUGUGGGAUGGGCUCAUGUCUGAUUAGUUAGUUGGUGGGGUAACGGCCUACCAAGACUGCGAUCAGUAGCCGGACUGAGAGGUUGAACGGCCACAUUGGGACUGAGAUACGGCCCAGACUCCUACGGGAGGCAGCAGUGGGGAAUAUUGGGCAAUGGGCGAAAGCCUGACCCAGCAACGCCGCGUGAAGGAAGAAGGUCUUCGGAUUGUAAACUUCUUUUAUGAGGGACGAAGGAAGUGACGGUACCUCAUGAAUAAGCCACGGCUAACUACGUGCCAGCAGCCGCGGUAAUACGUAGGUGGCAAGCGUUGUCCGGAUUUACUGGGUGUAAAGGGCGCGUAGGCGGGAUGGCAAGUCAGAUGUGAAAUCCAUGGGCUCAGCCCAUGAGCUGCAUUUGAAACUGUCGUUCUUGAGUAUCGGAGAGGCAAGCGGAAUUCCUAGUGUAGCGGUGAAAUGCGUAGAUAUUAGGAGGAACACCAGUGGCGAAGGCGGCUUGCUGGACGACAACUGACGCUGA
rnacentral:rRNA from 1 species